AGCAGCCGCGGUAAUUCCAGCUCCAAUAGCGUAUAUUAAAGUUGUUGCAGUUAAAAAGCUCGUAGUUGAACCUUGGGCCUGGCUGGCCGGUCCGCCUCACCGCGUGCACUGGAUCCGGCCGGGCCUUUCCUCCCGGGGAACCGCAUGCCCUUCACUGGGCGUGUCGAGGAACCGGGACGUUUACUUUGAAAAAAUUAGAGUGUUCAAAGCAGGCCUUCGCUCGGAUACAUUAGCAUGGAAUAAUAGAAUAGGACGCUGCGGUUCUAUUUUGUUGGUUUCUAGAACCGCCGUAAUGAUUAAUAGGGACAGUCGGGGAGACUGGUAUUCAAUUGUCAGAGGUGAAAUUCUUGGAUUUAUUGAAGACCAACUACUGCGAAAGCAUUUCUCAAGGAUGUUAUCAUUAAUCAGUGAACGAAAGUUAGGGGAUCGAAGACGAUCAGAUACCGUCGUAGUCUUAACCAUAAACCGUG
rnacentral:rRNA from 1 species